UACGGAGGGAGCUAGCGUUGUUCGGAAUUACUGGGCGUAAAGCGCGCGCAGGCGGCUAUCCAAGUCAGUGGUGAAAGCCCGGAGCUCAACUCCGGAACUGCCAUUGAAACUGUUUAGCUUGAGGACGAGAGAGGUGAGUGGAAUUCCCAGUGUAGAGGUGAAAUUCGUAGAUAUUAGGAAGAACACCAGUGGCGAAGGCGGCUCACUGGCCCGGUACUGACGCUGAGGCGCGAAAGCGUGGGGAGCAAACAGG
rnacentral:rRNA from 1 species